rnacentral:lncRNA from 1 species
UUUUGAGAAGCAUGAAUCAGCAAACAUUAAAAAUCGGUUCAAUGAGUCAAUUAAGAGAAGCAAGCUAUCAUUAUCAUGAUGAAAGACCCUUAAACCUCUACUAAACCUGGUUCAGGUAUUUCAGCGAACACUUCUCAGGCGUGAAAAUACCUCAGAUCUAGACCACAUGUGAUGUUCAUGGAUCCAGCAUAGAGAUUUGUUUAGUAGAAAAUAAAUGAUGCAGAUCUAGAACCUAAACUCGCUUAUCAAGCAUUUCAGCACCCUAAUCUAUCUAUCUAAAACCUCAUAAUGGAACUACUCACUAAUUAUGAAGAGCACACUUAAUCCUUUGCAAGAUGUGAUGCUAGACAUGAUUAAAAGCUUUAAUGAUGAUGAAAAGAAAUAAAAGAGAACAAGAUCCUUUACGUAAAAACGAGAUAUCUUAUCUCUUAUCAUGUUUUCUCUUAGAGACUUGCCUCUUUUGUGAAAACUUGUUUGACUUCUUAUGUAUUAUGUGUUCAUUUUUAGUGCAAGAGUGGUGUGAAAUAAUGAUGAUAUGAUAUGAUCUAUAUAUCUAUACAAUGAAACUAAUCAAAAAUUUAAUGUUUAUUUAUUUGUUUAUGUUUAUUAUCAAUGGAGCUUUGUAGAUUUAGUCCCUUGAUUAAAGAUUUCAUAGUUUAAUGACACUUCAAAAAUGAUCAAACUGGAUAAAGAAGAAUAGAUAGGGAAAACAAAAAUCUCUAACAGGACAAAUUAAACAAAUAAUAAUUACACAGAAGAUUAAAUCCUUCAUAGCUCAUCGGCUUUUAUCUCGACUGUCGAUUAUAUGGGCAGAGAUAACGAUUACAAAACAAAUCAACAGAACUCUUUAAAUCACAAAGCCCCAAAUUUUCUUAAUAAAUAUUUGUUAUUUUUAUCGCUCUUAAUUAAGUAUCUAAGCAGUGGAAGAUUAAUCAUCACUCAUUUUGAACACUAUUUUCUUGUAUACUUGGAGUACAAUGGUAUCCUAUUAGUAAUGAAAACUUUUGUUUUUGUUCACCCAACUCCCACCCCUCCAACUUGGCUCUGUUUUGUGAUAUUUAUUUUCUGGAUCAUGUAGAUUCUUGCUGUCAUUGGUUUGAUUUUUUGUCAUUUGUUAAAUCAUGUUAUAGAUGUGAAGGAGUGAAGGGAAUUUCAAGCUUAUGAUGUGAUGGAAGCUACUACAUAUAUCAAUUAACAUAGAUCAUGUAGACUUUGAUGAUCGCUGAUGAAGCUAAUGAAGAAAUUUUAUGCAAUUUGAUUAAAUGCAUUAAACCACUCACUUAGUUUAACUUGUUAAAAAUUGGAUAACUGUUGGUGGUGUACUUCGCACCCUCGGUUUAAUCCGGUAUUAAUCGAGACCGGUCUGGAGAGACCUUGGUUUACGAAUAUUAGAAUUGAGGUUAUAUCGGGUGGACCGACAUACGACUUUCUAGAAGGUCCAUUAAACCCCAGUUUACGAAACUGACCGACCUUUCCGAAUUUUACGGAAGAUUUCCGGAAAUAUUGAGGAAGAAAAAUGUUAAAUCCCAUAUCGAGAAAGAAAAGGAAAGUUCUUCUCAAACCGCCUUAGAAUUUGUAUAAAUAGGGAAGGACUUCAUUAAUUCGAGGCAUCCGCAAAUCAAGAGCAGAGAGACCUUUGAAGAACUUUGAGAUCGUCAAGUUUAUUUCGAGUUUUCCCUUUGUUAACGAGGUCGUCGACCUUAACUCAAGUUGUAUUUUUCCGAACUAUCUUAUAAUAAAACGAGACUUUUGAUUUGAAUAUUACCUCUUUUGUUUUAAAUGAGUUCGGCGAAAUUCAUGGACCUUUUAGCUCGGUUUGAAUUGAGACCGGAGAUAACUUGAUGGGAAAAAUCUUUUGUCGCUCUAUUCUUGUGCCACUUGGCACAGUUCCAUCUUUAGAUCGUUUUCUUGUACGGACUUCAAUUAGUACAGGCUUUCUAAUGGGCCUCAAUCCUUUAUAAAUACUCCUCUUCACUUUCACUUCUUCACUUCUUCUCCACCACUUAAGGUAUAAAGCUCUACUUUCUCUCUAGAACUUUCUCUCUCUACCUUUUUUUUAGUUCAUCUUUCUUUUAUAUAUAUAUUUUCUCUCUUGCUCUUCGCAAAAAGAAUGAACUGCUCAUAUAAUUAAGUUCGGUCAACUCAACUAUGUGAACCAAACUUUAAUUGAGUUCGGUUUAAUUUGGGUGACCAUCCUCCUUCUUUAUUUCUUCCACCUCUCCUUAAUUAUGCUGCGACCACUAUUGACAAUAUUUUUUUCCCCUUUCUUUUUUAUUUCUAGAGCUGGGCUUGAAUCAAUUCUCAUUGAGCCCAUUAAACUCCACCGACACCUUUUUUUAAUUAUGCUGCACUUACUCACCAUCCUUCUCCUCCUUUAUUCCUUCCUUCUUUCUUUAAAAUAAUAAAUCCAACUCCCUUCUUCCUCAAUAAUGGUGAUCUUCCUCCUUUUUAAAUAGUGUCGACCUUUUUUUUUUUUUUAAAUUAUGCUAAGUUUCUUUUUUAAUUAAGUGAGUUCGACCUCCUUCACAUCGACCUUCGCCCCUAUUAGCUGAUCUAUUCCAAGUGUUGUCUUAAUUUUCGAGAUCUACUCUUUAUUUGCCGAAACAAGCUUCUCCUUCUUUUAAGCCAACCUGCACUUCUUGAAGCUCACCCAGAUCUGCACUGCUUCUCUUCACCGACCUUCUCGAUUUGAGUUCAGAUUUUUCCGACUGAACUACCUACUUCGACAUUGUGCACCUCGUCAACAUCGUCGGCAGGCUGAGAUGGGCUGACCUCCUCAUAUAUCGAGGAAGAACUAGAAGAGGACGGUGAAUCAGACGAAUCAAGAGCAGAAGAAGCCACACGUUUUCCUUUCGGAUCGUUCUGGCUCGGCGAGGAUUGAGAAGAGUUGGAGGAGCUAGAUGAGGUCGGAUCGGAUGGAGCGGGUGCAGGAGAAGCCACUCGUUUUUCUGUAGGAUCACUCUGGCUCGGCGAAAAAUCAGGUGGGCUGGAAGAGCUUGUAGAAUCUGACGAACUGGAAGAACUGGUAGAAUCGGUCAAGUUUGGAGGCAUCUGUGAGAUUCGGUGAACGAAGUUUAAAAGACACAUCAGGAAUAAGGAAGAUAUGUGAGAGUUCGGUAUAAGUAGAAGCAAGGUCGACAAGGAAAUAGAGACCAUAAAUUGGUGAAGAAGAGAUUUCUAAAAAUACGAACAACUUUACUUGGAAAACGAAAGGAAACAAGGAGAAUAUUACGGCCAGCUUUUGGAGAGAAAAGAAGAAGUUUUGAAACCAAAAUAAGUUGGUCGGCUGUGACGAUGAAGCUCGGUUCCACUAACUAAAAGGAGAUCACACAGGUCUGCGUUUUAAUAAAAUUAUUUAUUAAACUAAGAAUUAAAGAAGGUCGGUGAGCAUUACCUCGUCAAGAGGAGAUCGGCUGUUAAGAGUCUGGAGGUUGGCGAAGAGAGCAGUCCGGCGGGAAAAACCUGAACUCAAAUCGAGAAGGUCGGUGAAGAGAAGCAGUGCAGAUCUGGGUAAAUUUCAAGAAGUGCAGGUUAGCUUAAAAGAAGGAGAAGCUUGUUUUGGCAAAUAAAGAGUAGAAAAUUAAGGCAGCACUUGGAAUAGAUCGGCUAAUAGGGGCGAAAGUCGAUGUGAAGGAGGUCGAACUCACUUAAUUAAAAAAGAAGCUUGGCAUAAUUAAAAAAAAAAGGUCGACAUUAUUUAAAAAGGAAGAAGAUCGCCAUUAUUGAGGAAGAAGGGAGCUGGAUUUAUUAUUUUAAAGAAAGAAGGAAGGAAUAAAGGAGGAGAAGGAUGAUGAGUAAGUGCAGCAUAAUUAAAAAAGGUGUUGAUGGAGUUUAAUGGGCCCAAUGAGAAUUGAUUUAAGCCCAGCUCUAGAAAUAAAAAAGAAAGGGGAAAAGAGAUAUUGUCAAAAGUGGUCGCAUCAUAAUUAAGGAGAGGUGGAAGAAAUAAAGAAGAAGGAUGGUCGUCCAAAUUAAACCGAACUCAACUAAAGUUUGGUUCACAUAGUUGAGUUGACCGAACUUAAUUAUAGGAGCAGUUCGUUCUUUUUGCGAAGAGAGAAAGUUCUAGAGAGAAGGUAGAACUUUAUACCUUAAGUGGUGGAGAAAAAGUGAAGAAGUGAGAGUGAAGAGGAGUAUUUAUAAAGGACUGGAGAGACCUUGGUUUACGAAGAUUAGAAUCGAGGUUAAAUCGGGUGGGCCGACAUAUGACUUUCUAGAAGGUCCAUUAAAGCCCAGUUUACGAAACUAGCCGACCUUUUCGAAUUUCACGGAGGAUUUCUGGAAAUAUCAAGGAAGAAAAAUGUUAAAUCCCAUAUCGAGAAGGAAAAGGAAAUUUCUUCUCAAACCGCCUUAGAAUUCGUAUAAAUAGAGGAGGACUUCAUUCAUUCGAGGCAUCCGCAAAUCAAGAGCAGAAAGAGACCUUUGAAGAACUUUGAGAUCGUCAAGUUUAUUUCGAAUUCUUCCUUUGUUAACAAGGUCGUCGAAACUAUGACUAUUUUAACUCAAAUUGUAUUUUUCCGAUCUAUCUUCUAAUAAAACGAAACUUUUAAUUCGAAUAUUACUGUUUUACCUCUUAGUGUGAUAUUAUAUAUCAACAAUAACCAAUCACACUAAGUUAAAAUUGUAUUUUUCCAAUCUAUCUUU